GGCGUUUCAAAUGGCAUCCAGCGCCGCCGCCUACCCCCAAAAUCCAAGAGAAUCACCCCGACCUCUUCAAUUCCAUCAGAUUCCGCUUCCAAGAAACUGGACAAACACACACUCAAAUUGGACACAACUCUCACAUCAGUUACUUCACUUUUCUUUUUCCAUAUUUUUUGUACUAUUUCAUUUGGAAUAAUGGAGUACUCCUAUUUUUGUAUUUAUAGAAACAGUAGUAAUGCAGUUUUGGAGGAAGAGAUUCAAGAUUUGACUCUAAAGUUAGACGAAUUGCAGUACAAGUUGAGAAUCAAAGGUUCUACUCAUUUCCACAGCACAAACAUUCUUAAACAGACCACCCUUUCCGAUUCCACAAAUCAUAACAUGAAGAGGAAGCAAGGGCACAAGAGAACAAAUGCUCGGGGCGUUGCAAGGCCGUGGUGCUAAGGAUAGUCGAGCAAGUGAGGGCGGAGGCAGAGCAGUGGUCCCAAAUGCGGACAAUGCUGGAGCAAGUCCGUCCGAGGAGAGAUGGAAGAACUGCAGGCAUCCCGUGAUUACUGGGAAACUCGAGCCUACACCUCCGAGUUCCAGAUUCAAUCCCUUCGCCAUUCAGUAAGCUAGGAAUCUAAAAUCACAAAAUAUAGGUGGAGGAAUGGAAACAGAAAGCUCUUGACUACGAAAAGGAGGUUCAUGAACUUAAAAACAAGGUAUCUAUGAAGAUGGAAGCAGAGAAUAAUCAGAAAAGAGGAGUGCCGCUUCUCUCUCUAGCAAAACAGCUUGCUAAGGAGAAGAGGUCGUUUCUCAAGGAAAAGACGAGUAGGCGAUACUCAAGUAUCUUUGCCUCCUCUGAUCGGAGGGAGAUUGGAAACUCGAGGCAAAACCAUAGAGCAGCGUUUGAUUAUCAUAGCCCAGAAAGAUAUAGAAUAAGAGAAAGCUUUAGAAAGUGAUGGAGAGUUUAGGCCAUAUUUCAUUCUAAGUUUGAGUUAUACAGUUUUUUGGUGCAAGUAUCAAUAAAUUUAAUUUAACCCA